CACAUGCAGUAAAUCUCGGUAACCGCUAACGCAAAUUGUGCCUUGAUUACUCUCUUGACUACAUUUAUCGUCGAAUUAUUGUUUUAAUAUUGAAGAGCGACUGCUCCCAUAAUGAAUAUACUUACGGCAUCCCGAGGUUGUACUAGCUCCAGUUGUGUCCCACCUAAUGAAGAUUAUGGACAUUCAAAGAGUAGAUGCGGACCCUGCAAACAUCCCGAACCAUGUAGAGACGUAUCAGCGCCAUUUGGAACCCAUUUCAUGUAGAGUUUUAAUAUUGGACCUUUUUAAAUGUUUAAAGGCUCUGCCAUGGAAGAGUUGGUGUUGGAUCUAUAAUGAUCUCAGAUGUUGAGCUAUUUUAGGAGUUGCUCAGUAUCAUCAUUUCCACAACGUCAAAUGACGAAAACCAUUCAGUAACAUUUGCCUCACGCAUUUUGCCAUGUUAAAACCAGGUUUCAUCCAUGAAGAGAACACCUCUUUAAAGCGCCGGAUGCCAUUGAAUGUGAGCAUGUGCCCACUUAAGUCGGUUACGAUGAUGGACUGCAGUCAGGUUAAAACCCCAAUGAGGCUUUCUGACAGUUUGAGCAAAAAUCUUUGGUUAUGCAAACGGAUUGUUGCAGCAGCUGUCCAGGUGGCUGGUCUCAGACAAUCUGGGAGGUAAGAUUCUGGAAGUGCAGGUCCUGGGCUGGUGUGGUUACACAUGGUCUGCGAAAGUGAUUUCUCCGAAUUCUCUGAAACGCCUUUGGAGUUUGCAGUUUUAUCAACAAGCACACUGACACAGAUUUCGCAAGUUUUAAGGAAGCGUGCAAUUGGCAUGCUGACUGCAAGAAUGUCUACCAGAGCUGUUGCCUGGGUUCAUUUUUUGACCAUAAGCACUGGUGCCCCCAGGGAUGUGUUCUCUCCCCAUUGCUCUUCUCCCUGUACACCAAUGACUGCACCGCUACAAACUCCUCUGUCAAUCUCCUGAAGUUUGCAGAUGACACAACAGUUAUCAGCCUUAUUGAUGACUGUGGCAGCGGGGGUGUGGCCGAGCGUCGUUUUGUGAAUGGGGGCGGGGCAGGAUGCAGGUAAGCGGGGAUUUGCCUCACCUGCAACUAAUAAGACCUGAUGUCUGUGCUCUCUUUUUCAGUGAUCAGGAGGCGCAUAAAAGCUGAGUGAGCGGAGGCGUGUGUGUGUAUGUGUGUGCCAGAAGUGCCAAAUUUGUGAGACAAAUUAAACAGAAAAGAAUUCAUUGAAUAAAAACGGCGGUGACGCCUGAGAACCGA